GUUACGCUAAUACCGCAUAUUCUGUGAGCAGGAAAGCAGGGGAUCGCAAGACCUUGCGCUGAUUGAGCGGCCGAUAUCAGAUUAGCUAGUUGGUGAGGUAAAGGCUCACCAAGGCGACGAUCUGUAGCGGGUCUGAGAGGAUGAUCCGCCACGCUGGAACUGAGACACGGUCCAGACUCCUACGGGAGGCAGCAGUGGGGAAUUUUGGACAAUGGGGGCAACCCUGAUCCAGCCAUGCCGCGUGAGUGAAGAAGGCCUUCGGGUUGUAAAGCUCUUUCGGCCGGGAAGAAAUCGUAUGGGUUAAUACCCUGUGCGGAUGACGGUACCGGCAUAAGAAGCACCGGCUAACUACGUGCCAGCAGCCGCGGUAAUACGUAGGGUGCGAGCGUUAAUCGGAAUUACUGGGCGUAAAGCGUGCGCAGGCGGUUUUGUAAGACAGGCGUGAAAUCCCCGGGCUCAACCUGGGAACUGCGCUUGUGACUGCAAGGCUAGAGUAUGGCAGAGGGGGGUGGAAUUCCACGUGUAGCAGUGAAAUGCGUAGAGAUGUGGAGGAACACCAAUGGCGAAGGCAGCCCCCUGGGCCAAUACUGACGCUCAUGCACGAAAGCGUGGGUAGCAAACAGGAUUAGAUACCCUGGUAGUCCACGCCCUAAACGAUGUCAACUAGGUGUUGGGUGGGUAAAACCAUUUAGUACCGGAGCUAACGCGUGAAGUUGACCGCCUGGGGAGUACGGCCGCAAGGUUAAAACUCAAAGGAAUUGACGGGGACCCGCACAAGCGGUGGAUGAUGUGGAUUAAUUCGAUGCAACGCGAAAAACCUUACCUACCCUUGACAUGUCCAGGAGCCUGAAGAGAUUUGGGUGUGCCCGAAAGGGAACUGGAACACAGGUGCUGCAUGGCUGUCGUCAGCUCGUGUCGUGAGAUGUUGGGUUAAGUCCCGCAACGAGCGCAACCCUUGUCGUUAAUUGCCAUCAUUUAGUUGGGCACUUUAACGAGACUGCCGGUGACAAACCGGAGGAAGGUGGGGAUGACGUCAAGUCCUCAUGGCCCUUAUGGGUAGGGCUUCACACGUCAUACAAUGGUCGGUACAAAGGGUUGCCAACCCGCGAGGGGGAGCCAAUCCCAGAAAGCCGAUCGUAGUCCGGAUCGCAGGCUGCAACUCGCCUGCGUGAAGUCGGAAUCGCUAGUAAUCGUGGAUCAGCAUGUCACGGUGAAUACGUUCCCGGGUCUUGUACACACCGCCCGUCACACCAUGGGAGCGGGUUCCGCCAGAAGUAGGUAGCCUAACCGCAAGGGGGGCGCUUACC
rnacentral:rRNA from 1 species